UAGCUAGUUGGUGAGGUAAAGGCUUACCAAGGCGACGAUCUGUAGCGGGUCUGAGAGGAUGAUCCGCCACACUGGAACUGAGACACGGUCCAGACUCCUACGGGAGGCAGCAGUGGGGAAUUUUGGACAAUGGGGGCAACCCUGAUCCAGCCAUGCCGCGUGAGUGAAGAAGGCCUUCGGGUUGUAAAGCUCUUUCGGCCGGGAAGAAAUCGCAUGGGCCAAUACCCUGUGUGGAUGACGGUACCGGAAUAAGAAGCACCGGCUAACUACGUGCCAGCAGCCGCGGUAAUACGUAGGGUGCGAGCGUUAAUCGGAAUUACUGGGCGUAAAGCGUGCGCAGGCGGUUUUGUAAGACAGGCGUGAAAUCCCCGGGCUUAACCUGGGAACUGCGUUUGUGACUGCAAGGCUAGAGUACGGCAGAGGGGGAUGGAAUUCCACGUGUAGCAGUGAAAUGCGUAGAGAUGUGGAGGAACACCAAUGGCGAAGGCAGCCCCCUGGGUCGAUACUGACGCUCAUGCACGAAAGCGUGGGUAGCAAACAGGAUUAGAUACCCUGGUAGUCCACGCCCUAAACUAUGUCAACUAGGUGUUGGGUGGGUAAAACCAUUUAGUACCGUAGCUAACGCGUGAAGUUGACCGCCUGGGGAGUACGGCCGCAAGGUUAAAACUCAAAGGAAUUGACGGGGACCCGCACAAGCGGUGGAUGAUGUGGAUUAAUUCGAUGCAACGCGAAAAACCUUACCUACCCUUGACAUGCCAGGAACUUGCCAGAGAUGGCUUGGUGCCCGAAAGGGAGCCUGGACACAGGUGCUGCAUGGCUGUCGUCAGCUCGUGUCGUGAGAUGUUGGGUUAAGUCCCGCAACGAGCGCAACCCUUGUCGUUAAUUGCCAUCAUUUAGUUGGGCACUUUAACGAGACUGCCGGUGACAAACCGGAGGAAGGUGGGGAUGACGUCAAGUCCUCAUGGCCCUUAUGGGUAGGGCUUCACACGUCAUACAAUGGUCGGUACAAAGGGUUGCCAAGCCGCGAGGCGGAGCCAAUCCCAGAAAGCCGAUCGUAGUCCGGAUUGCAGGCUGCAACUCGCCUGCAUGAAGUCGGAAUCGCUAGUAAUCGUGGAUCAGCAUGUCACGGUGAAUACGUUCCCGGGUCUUGUACACACCGCCCGUCGCACCAUGGGAGCGGGUUCCGCCAGAAGUAGGUAGCCUAACCGCAAGGGGGGCGCUUACCACGGCGGGGUUCGUGACUGGGGUGAAGUCGGAACAAGGUAGCCGUAGGGGAACCUGCGGCCG
rnacentral:rRNA from 1 species